AGCAGAGAGAGAGAGAGACAAAUGGAAAUAGUCUGGCUUGUUUUCACCCCUCGCCUGCCCCUUGAUCCCAGAACCUCAUGGAGGCCGCAGGCAAGGGAGUCUGGGAUGCGUGUCUGCAGUGAGCCUCCCUUAUAGUACAGAGCAGAGCUAGACGGCUGGUGGCCACGACAGUGCAGAGCAGCAACCUGAAGCGGCUGAGGAUGGGGAAUGGCCGGGAUGGAAACAGAAUGAUGCUGAGUGGCAGAGGCAAACAAGCACGAGUCCCAGCCCUGAUGGUCUGGGAGGUUCAGGCAAGAGGUCAUCACUGUGGGCUCACAGGAAAGAUCUUACAAGGCUCUCACUGAGGCAGUCUCAUCAAAGAAAGACCAUGGACCCUCGUUCCUGGCCUGACGUCCCAUCGGAGCCAUUGCGGAAAACGUUCCAGGAAUAGAGUACAAGAGUCACCUCCUGCCAGAAUAAUGGCCGCGUUGGCCGCACCUGCCACUCCUGCUGCUGAUGCUAUGGACGCCUUGGUAGCCUGGCGCCAGCCAGCUUUGUGGACCCCUGCUGGGCAGGAUGGGCAAGGAGGCCCCCCUCUAUUGCCCCCAGGCCUGUACACAAGGUGAGUUUCCUCUAGUCACUUUGCAGCCUGACCAGAAAGAGGGACAGACAGAGACAGGGAGGUCAGAGCACAGGGUAAGAUGCGCCUUCCAGAGGAACUGGCAAGAUGGCGAAACCCAGGAAGCCCCAGAAACGUCCUUCAAGAAGGACAAGGCAGCAUUUCUACCUUGAGAUUGUGAUAGGAAGGAGAGAAAAAGAUGUUAUCCAC
rnacentral:lncRNA from 1 species